AUUAGUUAAAAAAAGAAUUAGUUUAUUAUUUAUAUAAAUAAUUUUUUUUAAAAAAAAGUUGUAACUGUAAAGGAAAUUAAAUUAUUCUAAUAGAAAAAUAUUUGUACCUUUGGUAUCAGGGUAAAUUUAAUAAUAAUUUUAAAUUUUAUUCCCGAAAUCAAGUGAACAAUAAUUAUAUAAAAUUGUUUAUUACAAAAAACUUUUAAAUAAAAUUAUAGAAGAAAAAUUCUAAACAAACUUGAUAAUAUCUGGUUUUUUAGAAAUUUAAUUUAAUUAAAGAAUAAAGAAGAAAUUAAUUAAACUAAUAAAUUAUUCUUAAAUUAUUAAGGAUAAUCUUAAUAAUAAGUUAAAAUUAAUAAAAAAUUAUUAUUAUUAAGAUUAAAAUAAACAAUUCAGUUCUUAUUAGAUUAUAAUUAUUAACUAUAAUUUUAUUAAACUUAAAUUUAAACUAAAAUAUUUUAAUAAACAUAAAAAUAUUAUAAAUAAUGAUUUAAUUAGUAUAAUAACAAAUUAAUAAAAAAUGAACUCGACAAAAAAAGUUUUCAACUGUUUAUCAAAAACACUUCUUUCAGAAAAAUUGAAAGUAAAUUCUGCCCUAUGAAGAUUUAAUGGCUGCAGUAUAAUGACUGUACAAAGGUAGCAUAAUAAUUAGUUUAUUAAUUGUAAACUGGAAUGAAUGAAUAAAUGAAAGACAAAUUUUAUUUUUAUUAGUAAUAAAAGUUUAUUUUUAAGUCAAAAAGCUUAAAUAAUCUUUAGGGACGAGAAGACCCUAUAGAACUUUAUUUUUAUUUACAAAAAAAUUUAAAUAGAUUAGAAUUUUUCCUUGAACAAUAAAUAUUUUAUUGGGGUGAUAAUUAAAUAAAAAAAACUUUAAUUAAAUAAAUCACUAAUUAGUGUAAAAAAGAUCCAAGAAAUUGAAAACAAGAAAAAGUUACCUUAGGGAUAACAGCGUAAUUUUAGUGGAAAGUUCAAAUUUAUACUAAAGAUUGCGACCUCGAUGUUGAAUUAAGAUUACUUAAGGGGUAGAUUCUUUAAGAAAUAGUCUGUUCGACUAAAUAUUCUUACAUGAUUUGAGUUAAGACCGGUGUGAGCCAGGUUGGUUUCUAUCUUAAAAAAAUACUAUUUAUUAGUACGAAAGGACCAUAAAUAACUAUAUAAAUAGAAAAUUAGUCAAUAUUGAAUUGGCAGAGUCCAGUGUAUUAAAUUUAGAAUUUAAAAAUAUAAUAACUAUAUUCAUUAUAACUAGGCACUAAUACAUUACGAGAAUUAUAAGUAGGGUUUACCCAUAAAAGUGUAAGAUAUAAAACUUACAAGAAAAUAACCUGUUAACCUUAAAGUUAAGACCAGUUGGUUUCUAUCUUAAAAAAAUACUAUUUAUUAGUACGAAAGGACCAUAAAUAACUAUAUAAAUAGAAAAUUAGUCAAU
rnacentral:rRNA from 1 species